AAUCAACGCUGGCGGCGUGCCUCAGACAUGCAAGUCGAACGAUUAAAGCUCUCUUCGGAGAGUGUAUAGAGUGGCGCACGGGUGAGUAACACGUAAGUAAUCUACCCUCGAGUGGGGAAUAACAACCGGAAACGGUUGCUAAUACCGCAUAAUGCAGCGGCACCGCAAGGUGACAGUUGUUAAAGAUUUAUCGCUUGAGGAGGAGCUUGCGGCAGAUUAGCUAGUUGGUAGGGUAACGGCUUACCAAGGCUACGAUCUGUAACCGGUCUAAGAGGACGGUCGGUCACACUGACACUGAAUAACGGGUCAGACUCCUACGGGAGGCAGCAGUCGGGAAUUUUGGGCAAUGGGCGAAAGCCUGACCCAGCAACGCCGCGUGAAGGAUGAAGUAUUUCGGUAUGUAAACUUCGAAAGAAUAGGAAGAAUUAAUGACGGUACUAUUUAUAAGGUACCGGCUAACUACGUGCCAGCAGCCGCGGUAAU
rnacentral:rRNA from 1 species